AUGUGCCAAUGCCAUGCAGUACGCACCAACCAGUCCACCUGCAAAGCUACGUGGUUCACCUUAAAAGCCAGAGCUAACGCGAUGCUGAGCGAAAAAGUUGGCUACGCUGGUUUGAACUGGCACUACAAACUUACAAAACUGAAAUCAUAUGCAUUUUUGUUUCAGCAGUUGUGGUGCCUCCUCAAGUCUUCACUCUUUGAACAUGUGUUGAGGAUCCACAUGGAAAACAAGACGCACACAGUUAUGACCAUUUUAUCACUAAUCAUAGCUAUCACAAACACAUCUAGAUCUGUGUCAUUAAGAUGA
rnacentral:rRNA from 1 species